UUACCAACAGUGCAUGAUACAUGUUCAACAACACGCACAUGAGAACACACAGUGUUUGUUAUUCAUCAAAAAUGUCUUCACGGACUAUUGUGAGUGUAGCCGAGCGUUUAUGGUGCGCCUGUACUUUGUGUUAAUGACAAAACAACAACACGGAGCUCCGGUUCUGCGGCAAACCGGCCGCAACUUUAUUUUUAUCUUUUCCAAGAACACACCCCCAGUUGAACACAUCCUCUCCUUCCAUCUCCUCCUUCACAAAAAAAGCACCCACACCAGAACACUUGCGCAAUAAUAACGCUGACGACAACCGCGGAUGGGGGGGGCGCGAGACACACCGUCCUCUGCAGGUGGUCGUGGCCGGACUGCCGUGAGAAACGGAGCGAGACGCAACAUCAUUUUGUCUGGCUCGGGUGAAAAUCCGUUAUUUGGUAAGUAACUGUUUUUUGUUGUAGUGUAUAACAUAACUCUCUGUUAAAUAACGCUUGCACACAAGUUGUGAAUCGUUCUUAAAAGUUAAACCAGGGAAAUUCUCCAUUUCCAUGUCAGCAUUCAAGCUAACGUUAGUUAGCUGAGCUCGUUAGCAUCAGUCAGUCAUCUUCAAAGCCACAAAGGGGUCAAUCGCUGCCAACGUCGCUCCCUUUCCGUAAACACGGCUAAAGGAUCCAAAAUGUUCAGCUUUAAUAAAUGUUAGCUAACGUUAAUAAAAGUGACGGCGGGCUCUUUGGUGAUGGGCUCUCAUGAGGCAUUUGGGAGAAAGAGAGAAACUGAAUUUGAGCUCUUUUUGAGUUCAUGACACAACUUUUUUAAAACCUCUAAAAUAAUAAUAUAGCAUAAAGUAUAGGACAAAAUAUUACCGUAUAAAAAAUCCCGUUGAAAUGUGGUCUAAACGUAGACGUCUACGAAUACACGUUGAAUUUUUUUAACUUUUAAACCAUUUGGCAACGUCUUUUCAACCCAAAAAUUCUCUGUGGGUGCAAUUAUGUUGAGCAAUGGAAGUUGGUCGUGUACUCACAGAGUACAAACCGGGCCUCAUCCUCACAAUCCGCCAACGAAGACAGAGAUCACAGAAGAGAACUGCUGAGGUAUUAAUGGAUUAUUUACCUGGUAAUUACUGGGAGGGAAUAUUUGGGAACAACUGAUCCUUCAUAAUAAAUGCGCUUGCUGCAGUCUGAUAAAUGCAGUGACAGGUGACCCUCCGACUUGAACGUCAGCUGCUCGUUGUGUAUUUGUUAUAAAAGUGUGUUGGUACGUUGGUAUGUUCAUAAGAACAGUACAGGGAGUUAACUUUAUCACUAAGAGCUUGAGGAGACCUGCUCAGUGCAAGUGAAGGAGGUGGAGACACGGAGCAGAUGAAACCAGGAGAGAGUCACGUGACGUCUUGGAGCAGGAAGGAGUUCACGGGGGAGGAGCCACGUUUGAAUGUGCAGCCAAUCACAUACGACUGCAACUGAAGGGAGUUGGAGAAGAACCCGAAGCCUCCUGUGAACCAACAAUGAUGGACAUGAGACUUAACGAGGGGACUUCUUUAUUUGGCAAAAUAUUAUACUAUUCAUACCGUUUAUCGUUUUGUAAUUAGUUAUUAAAGUCUUUAUAAUUUUUAAACUCCAGCCAGUGACUCUUUUUGACUUCUCGUCUCAGCCGAGGCGAGUUUAAAGAAGCAUUCCUUCCUCCGAAGCUCAGAACCUGAAAUCUGUUGUUCAAUAAAAGAUUAGAAGUGUAAAAAGUUAUAUUUUAAUCAGAAGUAAAAGAGAAGAUGACUUCAUAUUGAAUAAUAUCACCAACGCACUGAAGCUCAAAGACGUCAAACUGCUUUUUCCUUUUAUUCAAACCAGCCUCCAUUAAAAGUUUUCUACAGAAGCUUAAAAAAACAAAGUGACUAAGAAGAAAAAAUGAAAUGUCCAUUAAACACUCAAUACCAACAUUUGAAUAAGAAUAUAUGUAAUAAUCUAGACUAUUUUCACCAAGUAAAACCUAUAAAGACUUAUGAUGUAUUUACUUUAAAUUAUCUUUUCAUGGGUUAACUACAAAACACUCUCAUAUCAGGAAAGAGGAAGUUCACACAAUCAUUACUCAAAAAGACAAAGAUGUGGUUUUUCAUGUCGUCAUCCGUUCCCCUGGUUCUGUCCAUGCAGAUGUUUUAUUCAUUUGAACAAAGAGAAGGAAAAGAGAUUAAAGGUUAUUUAAGAGUAACAGGUGUACGUGUUGUGUUUGACCUUUGCUGCCUGCUGGUAGUAAUACACAAGUACACGUACAUUGUACUACAUGGUCUGUUGUACUUGAAGUACCUGCAGUAGUUUCC
ensembl:lncRNA